CAGCCAUGCCGCGUGUGUGAAGAAGGCCUUUUGGUUGUAAAGCACUUUAAGCGAGGAGGAGGCUACCGAGAUUAAUACUCUUGGAUAGUGGACGUUACUCGCAGAAUAAGCACCGGCUAACUCUGUGCCAGCAGCCGCGGUAAUACAGAGGGUGCAAGCGUUAAUCGGAUUUACUGGGCGUAAAGCGCGCGUAGGUGGCCAAUUAAGUCAAAUGUGAAAUCCCCGAGCUUAACUUGGGAAUUGCAUUCGAUACUGGUUGGCUAGAGUAUGGGAGAGGAUGGUAGAAUUCCAGGUGUAGCGGUGAAAUGCGUAGAGAUCUGGAGGAAUACCGAUGGCGAAGGCAGCCAUCUGGCCUAAUACUGACACUGAGGUGCGAAAGCAUGGGGAGCAAACAGGAUUAGAUACCCUGGUAGUCCAUGCCGUAAACGAUGUCUACUAGCCGUUGGGGCCUUUGAGGCUUUAGUGGCGCAGCUAACGCGAUAAGUAGACCGCCUGGG
rnacentral:rRNA from 1 species